rnacentral:misc_RNA from 1 species
GAUGAAGAACGUAGCAAAAUGCGAUACUUGGUGUGAAUUGCAGAAUCCCGUGAACCAUCGAGUUUUUGAACGCAAGUUGCGCCCGAAGCCUUUUGGCCGAGGGCACGUCUGCCUGGGCGUCACGCAUCGCGUCGCCCCCCACAAUUCUCCGUAAAGGGAACAUGUGUUUUGGGGGCGGAUAUUGGUCUCCCGUGCUCAUGGCGUGGUUGGCCGAAAUAGGAGUCCUUUCGAUGGACGCACGAACUAGUGGUGGUCGUAAAAACCCUCGUCUUUUGUUUCGUGCUGUUGCUCGCAAGGUAAACUCUUUAAAAACCCCAAUGUGUCGUCUCUUGACGACGCUUCGACCGCGACCCCAGGUCAGUCGGGACUACCCGCUGAGUUUAAGCAUAUCAAUAAGCGGAGGA